GACCCGCUCCGGGAACACUGCCAAGACGUAGACGAGUGUACAGAAGGACUGCACACGUGCCACCACAGCGCGCGCUGCGUCAACACAGAAGGAAGUUUCAAGUGUGAAUGUGAUACAGAACCAUGUCAAUUAAGCUGCAUGUGGCAGGGGCGCGAGGUGGCGGCGGGCGCGCGCUGGGCGGAGG